UAAGGAAUAUUGCUCAAUGGGAGAAAUCCUGAAGCAGCAACGCCGCGUGGAGGAUGAAGGGUCUCUGACUUGCAAACUCCUGUAAAGAAGGAAAAAAUUCCCAUUUGAUGGGAGAUGAUGGUACUUCUGGAGUAAGCCCCGGCUAACUACGUGCCAGCAGCCGCGGUAAUACGUAGGGGGCAAGCGUUGUCCGGAUUUACUGGGUGUAAAGGGUGCUCAGGCGGAUUUGUAAGUCAGAGGUGAAAUCUUACAGCUUAACUGUGAAACUGCCUAUGAGACUGCAAGCCUAGAGUAUGGGAGGUAGUGAUGGAAUAUCUGGUGUUGCAGUAAAAUGCGUAGAUAUCAGAUAGAACACCAAUGGCGAAGGCAGUCACUUGGUCCAUUACUGACGCUAAAGCACGAAAGCGUGGGUAGCA
rnacentral:rRNA from 1 species